GAAUACAUGAUUAUUUUAUGAAUCAUUGGUAUGUUCCGCAUUUUAAUCUGUAUAUAGAUACAAGGGAGCAUGAGCUUAUAAUUGUAGAUGCGGAAUGGGAAAACAUAUUCGCUCAAGAGUCAAGGAAAAAAAAUUCUAGGUGGGAUAUUGGUAUGUUAAGAAGCAAAUACUUCUUAUUCUCUAUAUGGAUGCCAAGAGAGUAUGAGCUGUUUUUGGACGCAGAACGAUAAAGAAACAUGCAGGGAUGAAGAUCAAAGACAUCCCAAGUGUUACAAGAAAGAAUAUUCUAGGCAGUGGUGAAAAAUGUACCUCAUACAGUCAUACUUUAGAUGGUCCUCAAUUGUUCGGA